rnacentral:rRNA from 1 species
AUUGAACGCUGGCGGCAGGCCUAACACAUGCAAGUCGAGCGGAUGAAGGGAGCUUGCUCCUGGAUUCAGCGGCGGACGGGUGAGUAAUGCCUAGGAAUCUGCCUGGUUGUGGGGGAUAACGUCCGGAAACGGGCGCUAAUACCGCAUACGUCCUGAGGGAGAAAGGGUGGGAUCUUCGGACCUCACGCUAUCAGAUGAGCCUAGGUCGGAUUAGCUAGUUGGUGGGGUAAAGGCCUACCAAGGCGACGAUCCGUAACUGGUCUGAGAGGAUGAUCAGUCACACUGGAACUGAGACACGGUCCAGACUCCUACGGGAGGCAGCAGUGGGGAAUAUUGGACAAUGGGCGAAAGCCUGAUCCAGCCAUGCCGCGUGUGUGAAGAAGGUCUUCGGAUUGUAAAGCACUUUAAGUUGGGAGGAAGAGCAGUAAGUUAAUACCUUGCUGUUUUGACGUUACCAACAGAAUAAGCACCGGCUAACUUCGUG